rnacentral:lncRNA from 1 species
ACUAUCGCUAAUCUGCCAUUUGCAAUUAACAUUUGAACUUAAUAAACAACAAAAUAAUAAACAAAAUGUUUUCAUUAAUGAGUCAAACUCUUAAACGAGAGACAGACAUUCGAAUUACAUUACUUGGAAUACAUCAAAUAACUUUUGCCACACGAGAGGUGUGCCUAAUCUAAGGUAUCCACACAUCACAAAAUGGAACAAAUAAACCACAAUCUCUAAGCUUUCUUUGGAGAUUUCCUGGCCUUGGAUGGAGAUUUAGGAGCAGGAGCAGAACUUUGAGUCUUCUUAGGCAAAAGCACAGGGUUAAUGUUAGGAAGAACACCACCAUGAGCAAUGGUAACACCAGCAAGCAAUUUUCCAAGCUCUUCAUCAUUCCUCACAGCCAACAACAAAUGUCUUAGUAACACCAGCAAGCAAUUUUCCAAGCUCUUCAUCAUUCCUCACAGCCAACAACAAAUGUCUUGGACUAAUCCUGUUCUUCUUGUUAUCACGUGCCGCAUUUCCAGCCAACUCAAGAACCUUCACACCAAAAAAUUCAAAAUUAGGUUUCAGAUUCAAAUUUACAAAAUUCCAACUCAGUAGCAAUGAAAAAACGAAACUGAAAAGGAAAGAUGAGUUAAUUUACCUCAGCAGCAAGAUACUCGAGAACAGCGGCUAGGUAAACAGGAGCACCAGUACCAACGCGCUGAGCAUAUCUACCUUUCUUCAAGAAACGGCCGACUCUUCCGACGGGAAAUUGAAGUCCAGCUCUGACGGAUCUUGUGACGGACUUCUUCCUUGGUCCUCCUCCUUUCCUUCCGGCAGCUCCCACCAUUUUGAAAUUCAAAAACUAGUUUCAAGCUGAUGAUUCGCUUUGUUGGUAAGAAAUGCUGCGAAUUGAAGAUGGUGAGAUAAGAUGGAAACAGGUGGUGGCAUGGUUUUAUACUUACAUGGUUUAUAAGAGGAUUUCGCUCUGAAAACAAAUCUACCGUUAGAUUAGAAACUAUAGCUUAUAUCUAUGGCUCACUAUCACUGACGUGGCGAUCCGUGUCUCCUUAAACUGACCAAUGAAAACAAAUUAGGCGGUCUGGACUUUUUUUUUUAAUUGAAUUUAGCUUUUUGCAAUUUUGUUUUAUUUUUGUAUAAAUUAGGGCGGAUUCUUUCUUGCAAUUUUUAAUUGAGAGGAUAAAUUUCUUUUGGGAUGCAACCGUCGAAUGUGAAUAUAAAUCACAUUUUAUUUUUUGUUUUUUAUAUGCAAUGUGUGUUAUUUAGAAAAUUAAUUUUUUUCUUAAUUAUUUUAUUCAAAUUUUAAUAAUUACCAUCAAUAAUAAUAAAUAUCUAUUGUUAUUUUUUUUUAUUGCUUUUAAGUGAAAGUGUCAAUAAUAGUUCACAUCCAAAUUUGCUUCAAGCUCCUUAAAUCAUUCGAUAAGUUCCUCUAUUACUACUAUCAACGUCACAACCAUAAGUCUUGUCUGAUUUUCAAUUAAUUUGAACUAACCUCGGGAUAUAAGACGCCACUGAAUUGUUGAACAACAUUUACAACAUUGUUCGGCAACAAAACUCGCACGCAAUAGAGAAAAGGUUGCUUCAUCUUAAAGAAAGCCUACACCGCGCGCCUCCGAGAGGGAACAUUGUGCAAGAAGUGAUGUUAAAAGAAGUCAAGUUGUCAUCCCUGAGUCUCUAGUGUCGAGAAGAGACAAAGCUUUGAAAUCUCAAAAUCAGCAUAAUAGUAGAUAUUGUCAAAGUCCUCCUCAAAUCCCCGAGGGAGCCUGAGGCGGACAUGCCCCUCCACAAAAUCAAAUAGAGAAACUGCCGCAAAAGAAUAUGUAGAAAUAUCCUCUAUGCACCCAUAAUUUGGAUAGCAAAAUACCAAAAUCAAUGGAGAAACCUCCCAAACUGGGCGAGUACAACGGGAAUGAGACUCAAACGAGCACAUGUAAUUCGUCAAUAAAUGGUUGAAUUACUUAUGUGUCGAUGAAGCCUCAAAGUAAACCUCAUAUCUCUAUCUGACACAAUACUGGAUGGAAUACCAUGCAAGCUAACAAUUUUCUCAAUAUACAACUCAACCAACUUCUGCAGAGUAUAAUUGAUCUUAAUCAGUAUGAAAUGAGUCGAUUUAGUCAGUAUGUCGACAAUAACCGGUAUGGAAUCACAUCCAUUCGUCGUCUUCGACAAACUUGUCACAAAAUCCAUGGAAAUGUUGUCCCACUUCCACUCAGGAAUACUCAACGGUUGCAUCAGACCCCACCACUUAUGAUGUUCAAUCUUCUACUUCUAACAAGUCAAACAAGCAUAAACAAACUCGACUACUUCCUUCUUCAUUCCAGGCCAUCAAAACAAUUUCUUCUAGUCUUGAUACAUUUUAGUAGCAUCGGGAUGAAUACUCAAACCACUUCCAUGACCUUCCUCAAUAACACUCUUCUUAAGCUCAGGUACUUCUGGUACACAAACCCUAUCUCUCAACCUCAUCACUUCAUUCUCGUCGAUUCUGAAGUCACCUCAUUUACCUUAAUUGAUUAACACAAGACGGUCAACCAAUCCCAAAUCAAUCUUCUGACUUUCUAUGAUCUAUUCAAGGAUACCACUAGUUAGCUUCAAGAUACCUAACUUUACAUUAUUAGGAGUAUCUUCACAAACCAAAGUCAGAUCCAUGAAUUGCUCAAUCGAGUUCAAAUCUUGCAACAUCAGCAUUGACAUAUACAACGACUUCCUACUCAAUGCAUCAACUAUAAUGUUUUCUUUAUCAAGAUGGUAACUCAAACCAAAAACAUAACCUUUCAGAAAUUCGAGCCAUCUCCUUUGCCUCGUAUUCAACUCUUUUUGAUCGAACAAGUACUUCAAACUCGUGUGAUCAUUGAACAUUCAUGUAUUAUGUAGAAAAGUACUCAGUGUCCCUAUCACUUUUAAAUACUUUGAUACUUUUGCUUAAUUGAUUUUCUACACCCGCUUUAUAAAUUUUAAAAGCAUUAAAUGCACCAUCUUUAUAAUUUAAAAGGUAUAUAAGUGUGAAUCUAGAACAAUCAUCGAUAAAGGUUAUGAAAUGCCGAUUUUCCCCAUGGGUUAUCAUGCCAUUAAAUUCACACAAAUCAAAAUGCAAAAGAUCAAAUUCAUUUGAUUUUCAUUCAACACUUUUGAAAAGCUUCUUGAUCAUUUUUUAUUUUACACAUAUUUCACAUUUAUUGAAAUCAUGAAUGUUAAAUGAGAUCAAUCAAGAUUUAAUUAGUCUAUUCAUAGUACUAAUAUCUGUUAGUUAUGUAUUUUUAUGAUUUGCAUCAAUUUUGUUAAAACUUGUAUCACAACAACAUGUUGAGCAAGAUGUCAUGACAUGUUGAUCAAACAUUUUUGCAUGUUUUGUUUUACUUUUUGGAAGACUUAUUUUAUCAUGAGAUAUCUGAAGAUUCUCUAAAUAUUUAGCUAUCAUAUCUAACUGUCCAAGAAGGUUUAUUUUCGGAAAUCUUGUUUCAUUUUCAGUUGUGCACUUGUUUCAUAAAAAGGGAUGUUGAAACAUUUUAAGGAAACGUUAGAUCAGAUUUGAUUUGAUUCUGCAGAAGGUUGUGCAAAAUUGAUGUCAAAACAUUUAAGAAACUAUUUGAUUUGAUUCUAUAGACAGAUGUCAAAACAUUUAGGGAGACAUUAGAUUUGAUUUGAUUUGUUUUGUUUAGGAUUUGAUGACUUUUUAUGCCUAAGCUCAUGCUUACCAAAGGUCAUUUAAAGAGCACGUUACUAAACCUAAUGAACAAAAAGAGAGAGUUGCGCUGGAAAUUAUUAUUGUUAGGGUUUAGUUGUCGUUGUUAUUUGUGAGUCAUUUUAGUAUCUCUUUGAUACUUGAAUUGGACUGAGUUUAUUGAGUUGUAAUUGUGAAUCACUCGUGAGCUUUUAAGCAAGAGUUAAUUAUAUUUCAUUGGAAGUGUGUCUUUUGUUCUUUGAUUGUUUUUAAGUUGUUAUCAUUGUUGUGUGAUUUAAGGGAAGUGCGAAGGGUCUAGUAUCUAGGAGAGUCUUAGAUAGAAAUUCCACGGCUAGUGAUUAGGUGAGAAGUUUGUAAAAUAAGAGGUUAUUUAUAACUUCAAACUACUACUAUUAUAGUGGAUUUCCUUUAUGGAUUGGAUGCCCCUAGAUGUAGGUGACGUUGCACCGAGUUGGGUUAAUAAUUGACCUGUGUUAUUUUCUUCCUGCUUUUUACACUAUUAUGUUUUCUUGUAUGACAUGUCCUGAACAUGGUAUCGUGACAUCGUAUAUAAUAUCUAUUAUCCGCAUAAUUGUUUCGGGUGUGACAUGUCCUAAACUUGGUGUCGUGACAUCAUAUACAAUAUUUGUUGUCUGCAUAGUUAUUUCUGGUGUGACAUAUCCUGAUCCCGGUGUGGUGACAUCGUAUACGAUAUUUGUUAUCUGCUUACUAUUAUUGUUGUGUGAAGUCCUGAUAUUAGUAUCGUGACAUCGCAUACGAUAUCUGCUAUGUGCGUACCAGAAUUUUCAAUUGGUAUCAGAGCAUACAUAUUACUCUGUUUCUGGGUGAGAUCCGAGGAAAAUAUUUUCUGGUACCAUGGAAGGAGGAUUUGUUAACAGACCACCCAUCUUAGAUGGCACCAACAAUGACUAUUGGAAGGCAUGUAUGAUGGAAUUCCUAAAAUCUAUGGAUAUCAAGACUUGGAAAGUUAUCGUCAAGGGUUGGGAACAUCCUGUUAUGAAGGAAAAAGAUGAGAAGGCUAUUACUAACUUGAAUCCUGGAGAGGACUGGUCUAAGGAAGGAGAUGAACUAGAUCUUGGAAACUCCAAAGUUUUGAAUGCUUUAUUCAAUGGAGUUGCCAAAAACAUAUUCAGGUUAAUAAACACAUGUACCGUGGCCAAAGAUGCAUGGGAAAUUCUCAGAACCAACCAUGAAGGCACAUCUAAAGUGAAGAUGUCUAGACUUCAGCUUCUCACUACCAGAUUAAAGAAUCUAAAUAUGAAAGAUGAUGAGAGUAUUCAUGAUUUUCACAUGAAUUUUCUUGAAAUUUCAAAUUCGUCUAGUGCCUUGGGAGAGAAGAUGUUAGAAGAAAAGCUGGUUAGAAAAAUUCUCAGGUCCCUACCUAAGAAAUUUGACAUGAAGGUCAUAACCAUUGAAGAAUCCCAAGACAUCAGCAACAUGAGAGUAAAUGAACUUGUUGGGUCACUCCAAACUUUUGAAUUGGGUAUUAGUGACAGAUCUGAAAAGAAAAACAAGAGCAUAACUUUUGUAUCCAACACUAAAGAUGAAGAGGACUAAUGUGACUUAGAUACUGAUGAGGGAAUGUAUAAUGCUAUUGUACUGCUUAAGAGACAAUUCAACAAUGUGCUGAAGGGAAUGGACAGGAAGUCGAGACCAAAUGUCAAGAACAUCUCAUCUGACAUCAGCAAGAAUAAUGAUUCCUAGAGAAAAGCAAGAACAAAAGAAAAGUCCAAUCAAGAAAAAGGUAUUCAAUGUCAUGAAUGUGAGGGUUUUGGUCACAUUAGAUCAGAAUGUCCCACGUAUCUCAAGAAAUAAAAGAAUGGCUUGCCUGUUUCUUCGUCUGAUGAUUCUGAAGGUGAAACGAUUAGAGAAAUAAUUGUAUAUUUCUUAUUGAUCAAAAGGUGAAUGAUUACAUGAACUUAUAGCUGAUUACAUGAGAGAAUUAUGAUAGAAUAUUCUCCAACAGCUAUAUUAGGAGGGCCUAAAUAUGGAGGAAAAUAAGGCUAGAAAAAGGAAAGAAAUAAUAGGUAAUUAAAUCAUAAUGCUAGCAAAUAAGCAUGAAAUAUCAAGUAAUUAAUUCCGAAUAGCCCCCCUUUAAGCUGGAGAAUGUAUGUUUAACAGUCCCAGCUUAGCAAAAAUAGUAGAAAAUGGUUGCGGUUCCAGCGGUUUGGUGAACAAGUCUACCAGUUGAUUGUUAAAAGUAAUUGGAAGUAAAUGAUAAAGGUCGGCUUGUAGUUGUUGACGGACAACGUGACAAUCAAUAUCAAUAUAUUUGGUUCGCUCAUGGAAUGUUGGAUUCAUAACAAUAAAAAACAUUAUAUAAUUUAAAAGAAGGAGAGAAUUCAAUUGUGCCAGAAAAAUUUGCUACAACAAUCGAUCCAUCGGGUAAAGAAACAUUAAUAGGAUUGAUUCUGCGAAAAGAAGUAAAGUAUUUCUUGGAAUGGGUAACAUGAUCAGUUGCCCCACUAUCAAGAAUCCAAUAAUCUUUUGCAGGAUCAAUUGUACCUGCCUCAAUGGAUGUAUUUUGAUGAUUCAUCGAGGAAUGGAGUGGAGCGGUGUGUGCAGUAUUGACAUUGUGGGCAGAUGCUGCAGUAGAUUUGGAAGAAUUUGGUAAUAAUGAGAGAAGUUGUUGAAUUGUCUCAGCACUCAAUUGUGGAAUGGAUGAAUCAUUUGUAGCAACAUUGGAAGAAGUUGGAAAGGAACUGUCAUUAGAGGAAGUAGUGUUAUUGACGGUCGAUUGAGUUUUUGGCUGGUACCCAGGUGGAAAUCCGUGUUUGAAGUAGCAAGUGUCAAUGGUAUGACCGAGACGUGUGCAAAAGGUGCAUUGUUUGGGUGGACCACGAACGCCAGACGAACUUCGACCUCGACCACGUCCUCCGUUGUUGUGAUCGCGACUUUGAAAGCGGUUACCAUUAUCAGAGGCAUUGUAAAGAAUUUUUGAACUUGGAAUAGCAAUAUUUGCAGGACUUGAUUCUUGUUGAAGAACCAAAGAAAAAACUUUGUUAAUGGAAGGCAGUGGAUCCAUGAGAAGAAUUUGAGAACGAACUGUGUUAUAAUUGUCACUUAAUCCUUUUAAGAAACAAAUAACCAAUUCGGAAUCACGUUGUUGUUUGAUGAUUUUGAAAGCGGCACAAUUGCAAGGUUGUGACAGGUACAAGAAGGAAGGGGACGAAGAUCUUCAAGAUCUUCCCAAGAAUUUUUCAUAAAAUUGAAAAAUUCUGAAAUUGAUCGUUCACCUUGUUUUGUGGAGUGAAUUUCUUGCAAAAGAUCAGAGAAGCGAAAGUGAUUUCCUUUGGUGAAUCGUUCUUUAUUCUUCCCAAAGAACCUUAGUGUUUUCGACGUAAGCGACACUUUGAGCAAUCGAAGGUGUGAGAGAUCGAGUUAUCCACGAGAUAACAAGACCAUUACACCGUUCCCAGGCAUCAAAAAGAGUAUCAAGUUCUAGUAAAGGAGGUAACUUUCCAUUGAUGAAUUGUAGUUUGUUCUUGGCAAGGAGGGCUCACUUCAUUCCACGACUCCAAGUAUGGUAGUUGUUGUUGUUUAAUUGUGGAGAGACCAAAACCAAUCCUGGAUUUUCACCAGGAUGAAUGUAAUAAGGUGAUGAGUGUGAUUGGGAGGAAUCUUUGAUGUGAUGAAUAGUUGAAUCAUUGUUUUCAUCAGAGGAAGAUGAAUAAUUUUCUUCAUCGGCCAUUGGGAAAAAAAGGGUGUUAAUUUCUUAUGAUAUCACUGAUAUCAUAUUAGAGAAAUAAUUGUAUAUUUCUUAUUGAUCAAAAGGUGAAUGAUUACAUGAACUUAUAGCUGAUUACAUGAGAGAAUUAUGAUAGAAUAUUCUCCAACAGCUAUAUUAGGAGGGCCUAAAUAAGAAAUAAUUGUAUAUUUCUUAUUGAUCAAAAGGUGAAUGAUUACAUGAACUUAUAGCUGAUUACAUGAGAGAAUUAUGAUAGAAUAUUCUCCAACAGCUAUAUUAGGAGGGCCUAAAUAGGGAGGAAAAUAAGGCUAGAAAAAGGAAAGAAAUAAUAGGUAAUUAAAUCCUAAGGCUAGCAAAUAAGAAGGAAAUAUCAAGUAAUUAAUUCCUAAUAGAAACUUAUGAUGAAACUGCUAAGCAUGUUACAGCUUUCACUGGUAGAUAUGAAUCCGAUGAAGAUUAUUAUGAUGAAUAUGUCUCUUAUGAAGAAUUGGUUGUUUCAUACAAAUAGCUUUGUGUCAAAAGUGAUGAGGUGUGUAAGACAAGAGAAUAGUAAAAGAGAUUCAUAGCUCAACUACAAGCUGAAAAAGAGAAACUUUUAUCUACUACAACUGAUCUUGAAAAUGAGGUAACUUUAUUGUCUUUUAAACUUGAAAACAUGACUAAAUUCAUAAGAAUGUUGAACAAUGAGUAUGAUAUGCUAGACAAAAUUCUUCAAUUUGGAAAAGAGACUGGAAACUUAAAAGGUAUAGGUUUUAAUUACCAAUAUCAAAAUAAACAAGGAAAAACCCAUAUGACAAAAUUUAUUCCUUCAGAAAGGAAGUAUGAGCCCAUGAUGUCUGACCAAAUGUUACAACAUCCUGCCAGACAUUAGGAAACUCAAACUAAAGUCAAGUUUUUGCCUUGUAAUGUCAUUAUUAUGGUAAAUAUGGACAUAUAAAGCCUUUCUGCUAUAGACUGCAUGGUUACCCAAAACAUCCAACACAUCUUAGGGCUAAUUAUGUAAUGAUUAAAACUAGAAAGGAGUGGAAACCUAAGGUUGUUCCUCAUGAAACUACUUGUUCUUCCACAUGCCUAAUUUCCAAGGAAGAUGAAGUCAAGUUGUGGUACCAGAAUCUUGGACAUUUGAAUCUCAAAGGAAUAUCUCUUGGUUACUCUACAAAUAAUAGAGCUUGCAGAGUAUUUAACUCCAGAACCAAGGGCGUGAUGGAAUCCAUUAAUGUUAUGGUUGAUGAUUCAAUUAUAAGGGAUUGAUGUCGAUGAAGAUGUUGGAACAUAAUCUCGGCAGACUGAUUCUUCAGAAAAGGUGGAAAACAUUUAGUCAAACAUUGAGCCAACAAGGAAUGAAUCAGACGCUUCUGCUGACAUCUGAGCUGCUUUUUUUAUGUUUGAUUUUGCAUGUUUUUUGUGGAUCUUUUCCCUGAGUAUUGCACCUUUGUAUGCCAUGGUAUGUACCUCUAACUCACAUGUUCUGCUACUGAUUUACUAUAUUAUUUUAUUGCCAUUGAUGAAUUUUUGCUUGUUUUGUCAUAUUUUGGCUAAAAGGAGGGAGUAGAUGGUGAAGAGGUGUGCUAGUUGUGCUCUUGAUUUAUUUUAUGCUCUAUGUGAAGGUUGUUUCUUUGAGGGGAAGUAUGUUUCCUGUGUGUCAGGGGGGGUUAUUUAUGUAUUGUUGAUCAUGACAUUCAGGGGGAUUUGAUUUGUUUGCACCAAAGUUGUUGUGUACUUGUUGUGAUGUCAGACAUAAUGUCUUGACAUUUUACUUCAUAGAAUUCUAUUUGUGCUUAGACUGUUGUGUACUUGUUGUGAUGUCAGAUAGAAUAUCCUAACAUUUGUUUCAGAGAAUUUUGUUUGUGUCUAGGUUGUUGUGUGGUUGUUGUGAUGCCAGACAUAAUAUCUUGACAUUUUGUUUCUGAAUGAGGCUUGGAGUGUAAGAGUUUAUUUCUCUCUAUGUAUUUUUUGUGAGGGUGGGUUUCUAUUACUUAUUUUUGUUGCGUGCACCUCUGAUAUGUCUUGGUGUUAUACCAAGUGUUUGGUCUUUGUGCUUGUGAUUAUUGUUGUUGUUUUAUCUUUUCUUCAGCUAUAUGAUGCAAAGGUUGUUUUGUCCAAAAUUUGCGAAAAUGGAAGAUUGUUAGUUAUGUGUUAUUAUGAUUGGCAGCAAUUUUGUUAAAACUUGUAUCACAACAAUAUGUUGAGCAAAAUGUCGUGACAUGUUGAUCAGACAUCUUUUCAUGUUUUGCUUUACUUCUUGGAAGACUUAUUUUAUUAUGAGAUAGCUGAAGAUUCUCGGAAUAUUUUAUAUCAUAUCUGACUGUCCAAUAAGGUUUAUUUUAGGAACUCUUGUUUCGUUUCUAGCUAUGCACUUGUUUCAUAAAAAGAGAUGUUGAGACAUUUUAAGGAAACAUUAGAUCAUAUUUGAUUUAAUUCUGCAGAAGAUUGUGCAGAAUGGAUGUCGAAACAUUUGAUUUAAUUCUGCAGGCAGAUGUCAAAAUAUUUACGGAGACAUCAGAUUUGAUUCUGCAGAUAAAUUUCAAAAUAUUUAAGGAGACAUCAAAUUUGAUUUGAUUUGUUUUAUUUUGGAUAUGCCGAUUUUUUAUGCUUAAGCUCAUGCUUACAAAGGCUAUUUAAAGAGGACGUUACUAAACCUAAUGAACAAAAAGACAUUCUAUUGUUAGGGUUUAGUUGUCGUUGUUAUUUGUGUGUCAUUCUAGUAUCUCUUUGAUACUUGAAUUGGAUUGAGUUUAUUGAGUUGUAAUUAUGAAUUACUCAUGAGUUUUUAAGCAAGAGUGCAUUUUGUUUCAUUGGAAGUGUGUCUUAUGUUCUUUGAUUGUUUUUCAGUUGUUACCACUGUUGUAUGAUUGAAGGGAAGUGAGAAGGGUCUUAUAUAUAUUAGAGAGUCUUAGAUAGAAAUUCCACGGGUAGUGAUUAGGUGAGAAAUUUGUAAAACUAAAGGUUGUUUAUAACUUCAAACUAAUACUGUUAUAGUGGAUUUUCUUCCUGGUUUGGAUGCCCUUAGAUGUAGGUGACGUUGCACCGAACUGAGUUAACAAUUGACUUGUGUUAUUUUUUUCCUGCUUUUUACACUGUUAUUGUUUCUGAUGUGACAUGUCUUGAACUUGGUGUCGUGACAUCGUAUACAACAUCUGUUAUCUGGAUAAUUGUUUUUGGUGCUACAUGUCCUGAAUCUGGUGUCGCGACAUCGUAUAAAACAUAUGUUAUCUGCAUAAUUGUUACUUGGGUGACAUGUCUUGAUCCUGGUGUCGUGACAUCGUAUACGAUAUCUAUUAUCUGCUUACUAUUAUUGUUGUGUGAACUCAUGAUAUUAGUGUCGUGACAUUGCAUACGACAUCUAAAAUUUGCGUACCAGAAUUUUCAAUAUCAAUGUGUUAAUCUAGAAUGCCAUAAAAAAAUAGAUUCAAGCAUAUAAAAAGAAUUAUAAAUUUCAUUAAUAAUAUUGUCAGAUGCACAAAGCUUGAUCAUUCAUUCAACGGAAUAUCACAUUCCUACAAAUAAAUCAUUUUAAAAUAUAUUAGUUUGCCCAAUUCAUAUACUCCGAGGUUCAUAUUCAAGUCCCCACUAACAAGGUUCCUAUUCAUGUCAAGAACAUGAAUCACAUUAACAAGAGUGACUUUCUUUCCGGAAGUGAAUUUGAUUUCAAUGGAUCUUGUACCAACGACUCUAGAUCUUACUUCAUUUAUCAUCUGUACUUCUUAUCCACCAUUAAUUUCAAAAUAUAUUUUAAAUACUACUUUAUCAUAAGAUACAUGCAUGAUUGCACAUGUAUCAUACCACUAUCCUUGCACUUUGUCUUAAAUUAUCAUAAUUUUGCUCACCAUAUGAUCAUGUCUUCAUCAGUAUGAACAUCAUUAACUCCGAUUUUAGGUUUAUUACAUCUACAACAUAAUGGUCUAAUUUGCCCCCUACAAAGCGGUCUUUUUUUUUCCUUUGACCUGCUAGAAUAUAUUACUAAUAAAAUGACAACUCCUUAACAUUAUAACAUGUGAGAUAAAAGUAUAAAAAAAUAUUAUUACCUUCUCACAAAUAAAUUAAAACAGUAUUUUGUAUGUAAGUUAUUUCGUAACAAUUCUGAAAUAUUGUGAUGAUAGAACUUUCUAACAAAUCUAAAAUCUCAUCCCAAACAAAUAACCAUCCGAUCAACAGUUGAAAUACACUACAACCUAAAACUACUGAUAAACUGUCCUAAAAGUAAAAGUACUAAAACUUAUUAAACAACGGGAAUAAGUAAAAACAAAGCGAUUCCAUUAACUAAUCAAACUCACAAAAGAGAUGAAGACAUUCGAAUCACAUUGCUUGUAGAAUAAUUCUUGCCACAUGAGAGGUGUGUCAAAUCUAACGUAUCUACGUAUAACAAAAAGAACAAAUAAAAAUUAAUAUCUAAGCUUUCUUUGGAGAUUUCCUGGCCUUGGAUGGAGAUUUAGGAGCAGUAGCAGCACUUUGAGUCUUCUUAGGCAAAAGCACAGGGUUAAUGUUAGGAAGAACACCACCAUGAGCAAUGGUAACACCAGCAAGCAAUUUUCCAAGCUCUUCAUCAUUCCUCACAGCCAACAACAAAUGUAGUAACACCAGCAAGCAAUUUUCCAAGCUCUUCAUCAUUCCUCACAGCCAACAACAAAUGUCUUGGACUAAUCCUGUUCUUCUUGUUAUCACGUGCCGCAUUUCCAGCCAACUCAAGAACCUUCACACAAACAAAUUUCAAAAUUAUGGUUCAGUUCAAUUUACAAAAUUCCAACUCAGUAGCAGUUAAAAAAUGAAACUGAGGAUGGAAAAAGGAAUUAAUUUACCUCAGCAGCAAGAUACUCAAGAACAGCGGCUAGGUAAACAGGAGCGCCGGUACCAACACGCUGAGCGUAUCUACCUUUCUUCAAGAAACGGCCGAUUCUUCCGACAGGAAAUUGAAGUCCAGCUCUGACGGAUCUUGUCACCGAUUUCUUCCUUGGUCCUCCUCCUUUCCUUCCUCCCGCACCUUUCUUCACCUUUGUGCUUGCGUCCAUUUUGAAAUUCGAACACUAGAUUCUAGAUGUUGAUUCGAUUUUUUUGUAAGAAAUGCUUAGAAUUGGAGAUGGUGAGAUAAAAUUAUGAUAGGUGUUGGCAAGCUUUAUACUUCUACGGUAACUAUAAGGAUUUUGCUCAGAAAAACAAAUCCAUUAGAAACAUUAUUUCAGAUCUAUGGCUCUUUGUCCCUUACCUGGCGAUCCGUGUCUCCUAAAACUGACCAAUGGGAAUUCAAAACCAAUCAGACGGUCUCACCUUUUUCUUAUUGAAUUUGGCUUUAUGCAAUUUUGUUUUAUUUUUUAUAAAAUUGGAUGAUUCUUUCUUUUUUUUAUAUAUAUAUAUAUAUCAAUUGGAUGACUCUCACAUUUAAAGCAAUUUUACUACUAUAUUCUUUAUCAAAUUUGUUAAUAUAUAUAAUUUUACCAUGAAUUUUGAGUCUUUAAUAAAAUUUUAGAAAAUUACAUUUUUUUCCCGCAACAAAGUUAAAAGUAGCAUAAAUUUUGGAAUUUUUGGUAUAAACAUAUUGUAAUUUUUUUAAUUUCCGAUAGAGACACGGAAGAUUUUAUCGGAAAUUAUAAAAUUACAUUUAUAUUUAUUGGAAAUUGUAAAAUUUCUGAGAAUUAUUACAACAUUUUGGAAAAACAAUCUAAUAAAAUCAGUUUAUGUCAUUAAAAAAAAUGAAUUUCGUUUUACGUAAAGAAAACAUUCACACUUGGUAUACGUUAUACCAAAUUAGUGUAAGUCAGAAUUCUCACUCACAUUUGAUAUACGAUUAUACCAAGUUAGUGUAAGUCAGAAUUCUCACUUUAAAUCAUGUUUGAAAUUGAAUAUGGAUAUCUUUCAAUUUUUCAAACACUCUAAGCGAAUUAUUGAGAAGAAAAGGGGAAAUGAAUUAAGUGGUGAUUAUAAGUCCUCAAAUAAGCUUGCAAAGUUAAAAUGUAAGUUGUCGUCAAUCCUAAUACAAAUGGAAAAAAAUACACACACAGAGAGUAUUUGGUCAUUUUUAAAUAUUAGCUUACCUUAUUCUUAGCUUUAAGAAUAUCAAAGAGAAAUGAAUCUCACUCUUUAUGAUAAUAUGUCACCAUGAGGGAACUUGAAAAGUAUCAUUUGACAUUGCUUCAACUUUCUUUAGUUGUAGUUGUAGAAAAUUUGAAAUAUUUGGCAAUCUUUGUUCACAUGUAUUGAAAGUGUUUGAAAUGAACGAUGUUACAUUUAUUCUUGAGAAGUAUAUUUUUAGAAGGUGGACAAGAGAUGUUCGUUGCGGCAUUAUCCAAGAAUGUAAGAGAAAAGAAAUUGAAGGAGAUCCAAAGCAUCUUCAACACAAAAACAUUGACAAAUUGUCUCUAAAUUCAUUAGAGUGGUGACCAAUGCAUCACCCAACAAUGAACAUCUCGAGUUUGUAGAUGAUAUUGUAGAAAUCACGUGUAAGAAAAUCAUGGAACUUCGCAUACAACCCAAGAAUAAUCCAAGAAUAAUGACACUCAUAAUAGUGAUAAUCUAACAAUUCAAUGUCAUGAUGUUAUGCAAUCAAAGGAAUUCAAGAAACAAUAUCGAGAUGCAACUUACUACAAAAAAAAAAGUACGGUCGAGUAUAUCAGGUAUUUAAGUCGAUGUUUAGAUCAUUGAUUUAGUUUUACAUGUAUUAUCAUUGAUUUUAAUUUUACCUAAUCAUUCUAGGAAAAACAUUAACAAGUCAAAUGAUUGAAUAAGUAUCUUAUUAGGCAUUUCUACCUUAUGAGCCUCCACAAUUACAAGAGGAUAAAUUUAGCUUCACAACAUUUUUUGGUAAUUUAAUUUGUAUUUGAAAAAGAAUUAUCCGUAUAAAUUUUAUCUUGAUGUUAAUUAAAUUUUGUUAUCAUGUAGGCACUCCUAAAUGAAACUGAUAUUGCAACAUUAUCGUGAUUGAAGCUAAUUAAUCACCAAGUCAUACUUUUGUUAUAUCAAUGAUGUUUAGUACAGUGUCUAUUACUUGGUGAAUUGAGAAUUGAGAGUUGAGAAUACAAACAAGUUUCUACAUAAUACAAACAAGUUUCUGCAUGAUACAACUUCCUUCUUAAUACUAGCAUGACAGUUCAAUAAAUAUAAGUAAUUUUCGGUAUGAUCUCAUGAAUGAUUACUACGAAUGAUAUUUCAAGAUAUAAUAACAUUACUAUUCGCAAAAAUAUUGGACGCCGAAUAAUAACAUUACUAAUCAAACUCACAAAAGAGACGAAGACAUUCGAAUUACAUUGCUUGUUAUACAUUGAGUAAUUCUUGCCACAUGAGAGGUGUGCCAAAUCUAACGUAUCCACAAAUAACAAAAAGAACAAAUAAAACCUAAUAUCUAAGCUUUCUUUGGAGAUUUCCUGGCCUUUGAUGGAGACUUGGGAGUUGUAGAAGCACUUUGAGUCUUCUUAG